rnacentral:rRNA from 1 species
AUUGAACGCUGGCGGCAGGCUUAACACAUGCAAGUCGAGCGGGGUGAUGGUGCUUGCACUAUCACUUAGCGGCGGACGGGUGAGUAAUGCUUAGGAAUCUGCCUAUUAGUGGGGGACAACAUCUCGAAAGGGAUGCUAAUACCGCAUACGUCCUACGGGAGAAAGCAGGGGAUCACUUGUGACCUUGCGCUAAUAGAUGAGCCUAAGUCGGAUUAGCUAGUUGGUGGGGUAAAGGCCUACCAAGGCGACGAUCUGUAGCGGGUCCGAGAGGAUGAUCCGCCACACUGGGACUGAGACACGGCCCAGACUCCUACGGGAGGGAGCAGUGGGGAAUAUUGGACAAUGGGGGGAACCCUGAUCCAGCCAUGCCGCGUGUGUGAAGAAGGCCUUAUGGUUGUAAAGCACUUUAAGCGAGGAGGAGGCUCUUUUGGUUAAUACCCAAGAUGAGUGGACGUUACUCGCAGAAUAAGCACCGGCUAACUCUGUGCCAGCAGCCGCGGUAA